rnacentral:rRNA from 1 species
AGUGAACGCUGGCGGUAGGCCUAACACAUGCAAGUCGAACGGCAGCUCAGUAAGAGCUUGCUCUUACGGGUGGCGAGUGGCGGACGGGUGAGGAAUACAUCGGAAUCUACUUUUUCGUGGGGGAUAACGUAGGGAAACUUACGCUAAUACCGCAUACGACCUACGGGCGAAAGCAGGGGAUCUUCGGACCUUGCGCGAUUGAAUGAGCCGAUGUCGGAUUAGCUAGUUGGCGGGGUAAAGGCCCACCAAGGCGACGAUCCGUAGCUGGUCUGAGAGGAUGAUCAGCCACACUGGAACUGAGACACGGUCCAGACUCCUACGGGAGGCAGCAGUGGGGAAUAUUGGACAAUGGGCGCAAGCCUGAUCCAGCCAUACCGCGUGGGUGAAGAAGGCCUUCGGGUUGUAAAGCCCUUUUGUUGGGAAAGAAAAGCAGCAGGUUAAUACCCCGCUGUUCUGACGGUACCCAAAGAAUAAGCACCGGCUAACUUCGUG